UGAGAGAGGUCCUUAAGCAGGCUCAUCCCUUUUGCAGGGCUGCAAGCAGUGCAGGCUGUGACUUGGCGGCUGGGUGCUGAGUUUUCCCGAAGGAGACUUGAAGGACAAAGGGGAGACAGAUUUAGUUUCCCUUGUCACCUUCUCUGCAAAUUGCCCAUCCAGUUUAAGGAUUUCGACAUUACCAGCCAUGUAAAGAGAAAACUGCACAAGAUACUCUGCCUAUGCCAAAGACGAACGUGCCUGCUUUUCCUCGCCUAAGAACUCUACCAGAAUCGGGAGCAGAAAUGCAGGGAGGACCAGAUCAAGCUACAGUGUCGUGGCCUUUUUGCUUAACGACUGCAGUCCGACUGUUCCCAGCAGCCGCCAGAAGAAACAUGCUAAUAUUAACUUAUUGAAAUGAUUGAGCUACUUGCAGUGACAGAAACACUUGAAUUUAUUAAACUGGCUUUAAAAAUAUUUAGGUGCCUUUCAUCUGCAGAUAGCACAAAUAGUCUAUUACCCCAACAUUUUCUGAGGCUACAUUUAAAAAAAAAAUG